UACGGAGGGUGCAAGCGUUGUUCGGAAUCAUUGGGCGUAAAGGGCGCGUAGGCGGUCCGGUAAGUCGGGUGUAAAAGCCCCGGGCUCAACCCGGGAAGUGCAUUCGAAACUGCCGGACUUGAGUACGGGAGGGGGAAGUGGAAUUCCUGGUGUAGGGGUGAAAUCCGUAGAUAUCAGGAGGAACACCGGUGGCGAAGGUGACUUCCGGGACCGAUACUGACGCUGAGGCGCGAAAGCGUGGGGAGCAAACAGG
rnacentral:rRNA from 1 species